GAUGAACGCUGGCGGCGUGCCUAAUACAUGCAAGUCGAGCGAAUGGAUUAAGAGCUUGCUCUUAUGAAGUUAGCGGCGGACGGGUGAGUAACACGUGGGUAACCUGCCCAUAAGACUGGGAUAACUCCGGGAAACCGGGGCUAAUACCGGAUAACAUUUUGAACCGCAUGGUUCGAAAUUGAAAGGCGGCUUCGGCUGUCACUUAUGGAUGGACCCGCGUCGCAUUAGCUAGUUGGUGAGGUAACGGCUCACCAAGGCAACGAUGCGUAGCCGACCUGAGAGGGGGGUCGGCCACACUGGGACCGAGACACGGCCCAGACUCCUACGGGAGGCAGCAGUAGGGAAUCUUCCGCAAUGGACGAAAGUCUGACGGAGCAACGCCGCGUGAGUGAUGAAGGCUUUCGGGUCGUAAAACUCUGUUGUUAGGGAAGAACAAGUGCUAGUUGAAUAAGCUGGCACCUUGACGGUACCUAACCAGAAAGCCACGGCUAACUACGUGCCAGCCGCCGCCGUAA
rnacentral:rRNA from 1 species